GUUGAUGCAAGGAAGGGAAACAAGGAGGGCUUCCGACUGCCAGGCCUGGUCUUGGUCUUUCCCAAACAGUACAAAUCAGGAAGGAUCCUGCAGGAACCAAAGGCAGGUAGGUUCCUGGGAUCCCAGGCAGGGGCCUUCCAGGAUGCCUGGUGCCAUGUGCUUGAUGCUGUGUAGGAUACACAUGCAGUCAUAGCCAUCAUCUCAAUCAGCCCAUGGGCGGGGAGAAGGGCUAGCAUCCCCAUCCAAAGCUGGACUGGGGGAGGUAGGUCGGGCUUCCUGUCCCUUCCUCAGGUUUUCAUGGUCUGCAGCUUCUCAGAAUCACAAAAAGAACCAAGAAGGCCUUUGUGCUCCUGUUCCACUAGACCAAGUAGAGUCUUCCCCACCCACAACUUCAUUUCCUUUCUCCAUCCCUCCAUCUCCAACCUGGGUCCCUGGUGGCCCACUGCCCCCACCCCAGAGAUGAGUCGCCAGUGCCAUGCCCUGCAGGAGGAUAUGCAAACCCGCAGCAAGCAGCUGGAGGAAGAAGUCAAAGGCCUUCGGGGGCAGCUAGAUACCUUUGGAGAGACUGGUCAAGGAUAGAGUGUCACCAUCCUGCUCUCUUUCAUCCUGCCUGCCCCCAGAGGCAUGCCAAAGGGAGGCUGCAGCUGCCCGGGAAGAGGCUGAACAAGCUCUCGGAGAGCGGGACCAGGCCCUGGCUCAGCUUCGGGCCCACAUGGCAGACAUGGAGGCGAAG
rnacentral:lncRNA from 1 species